UCCCUCAACCCUCGAGGCUCUUUCCCCUUCCCCCAACCCUAGCCGCCGCACGCAGCAGCCAUGGCGGAUUGCACCUUCAGCGCCGGCAGGUGCUGCUCGUCCAUGAUGUGAAGCCAUCCCCGCCCUGCUCGCCUGCGUCCGCCACCGUCGCGAACCGUCUCCUCUGUCCCCGACCACACAUCCCCGGCCUCGUCUGCCGCCAUCACCGACCAGCUCCUCCGUCCCCGACAAGUCAUCCUCAUCCUGCUCGCCGUCUUCCGCCGAAGAACCCGGCGAAUGUGUCGAUUCCCUGCCUCCCCGACCACCUCUUCCCAUUUUGCGAAGGUGAUGCCCUCUUUGCUGC
rnacentral:rRNA from 1 species